GACGAACGCUGGCGGCGUGCUUAACACAUGCAAGUCGAACGGAAAGGCCCUGCUUUUGUGGGGUGCUCGAGUGGCGAACGGGUGAGUAACACGUGAGUAACCUGCUCUUGACUUUGGGAUAACUUCAGGAAACUGGGGCUAAUACCGGAUAGGAGCUCCUGCUGCAUGGUGGGGGUUGGAAAGUUUCGGCGGUUGGGGAUGGACUCGCGGCUUAUCAGCUUGUUGGUGGGGUAGUGGCUUACCAAGGCUUUGACGGGUAGCCGGCCUGAGAGGGUGACCGGCCACAUUGGGACUGAGAUGCGGCCCAGACUCCUACGGGAGGCAGCAGUGGGGAAUAUUGCACAAUGGGCGGAAGCCUGAUGCAGCAACGCCGCGUGCGGGAUGACGGCCUUCGGGUUGUAGACCGCUUUCGCCUGUGACGAAGCGUGAGUGACGGUAAUGGGUAAAGAAGCACCGGCUAACUACGUG
rnacentral:rRNA from 1 species